rnacentral:misc_RNA from 1 species
UUGAAUGAAUGUAGAGUUGGUUGUCGCUGGCCUUCAUUGGCAUGUGCACGCCUUCUCUUUCAUCCACACACACCUGUGCACCUGUGAGACGGAGAGGAGUUUCGCCCUUUCGCGAGGGUGUUGUUUUCUCCGUCUGCCCAAUACACAAACUCAUAUUUAAUAAUUUGAAUGUAAUUGAUGUAACGCAUCUAUAAAC